rnacentral:rRNA from 1 species
CAAUCAAGCGUCUUAAGGGCAUUCGGUGGAUGCCUUGGCGCGCAGAGGCGAUGAAGGACGUGGCACGCUGCGAUAAGCCGCGGGGAGCUGUGAGCAAGCUUUGAUCCGUGGAUUUCCGAAUGGGGCAACCCACCCGCAAGGGUAUCGGCACCUGAAUACAUAGGGUGACGAAGCAAACCCGGGGAACUGAAACAUCUCAGUACCUGGAGGAAAGGACAUCAACCGAGACUCCGCUAGUAGUGGCGAGCGAACGCGGAUUAGGCCAAUGCCUUUGAUCUUCUAACUGGAACCGUCUGGAAAGUCGGGCCUUAGCGGGUGAUAGCCCCGUACAGGUGUUGAAGGUCAAGGGAUACGAGUAGGGCGGGACACGUGAAAUCCUGUCUGAACAUGGGGGGACCACCCUCCAAGCCUAAGUACUCCUGCGCGACCGAUAGUGCACAAGUACCGUGAGGGAAAGGUGAAAAGCACCCCGACUAGGGGAGUGAAACAGUUCCUGAAACCGGAUGCCUACAAACAGCUAGAGCCCGCAAGGGUGAUAGCGUACCUUUUGUAUAAUGGGUCAGCGACUUAGUCUGGCGAGCAAGCUUAAGCCGAUAGGUGUAGGCGCAGCGAAAGCGAGUCUGAAUAGGGCGUUCAGUUCGUCGGAUUAGACC